UGGUUAUAUGCAAAGAACAAAAGUAAACAUGCAAUGCAAUUGAUUCAAUUGGUUUUGAGAAACUAUGGAUGAAUGGUGUUGUUGGGUUUUACAAUUUCAUCUUAUCCACUCUCAUAUAUCUACUCUUCAUAUUUACUUCACUUAUUUAUCUAAUUGCCAUGCAAACUUUCUAGUUUACCCUUAACCCAAUCCCUUGGUGAAAAGAGCCUAUUAUUAAUUACCAGCUUGCUAUCCCUAGCCUCCCCUAGUAACCAAUAAUGCAAUGAGAUCGGAAGCAAAUACAAUUGAUCGUCCUACCCCUAUCCCUAGGCGAUAUUGGCAUAAUCAAGGAAUUUCUCACGAGUUCAUGAAAUUACCGUACAUCCCC
rnacentral:lncRNA from 1 species